CCUUUCCUCCUGGGCUCCUGGACAUCCUGCAGAACGCACCUCUAUGGACAGGUUUGAAGUCCGGGUUAAGGCGUUCGAGGGAUUAGGACUCGCAGAACUAAGGCUGAUUCUUUUAAAGGUGUUGGGACCUGUGCGCAAGGUUAGUAGUGGUAGAAAUGAUUGUCGUGGAAGUGGUUUGCAAAUAAUUGUUGGCAGGUGUUGAGGAAAGCUAAGAUACUGUCGUCUUUUAAAGAUGACACUGAACAGCCGCCCUCUGAGGUCCAACAACAGAUUAGAGUUGGUCCUAGUUGGAGGUUUAUAGUUUACUACCGCGUAUCUGCUUAUAAAGUGGAUUAAGUAGGAUAGGAGGAGGGAAGAUGUAGGCAAGGUGAAGGAGAAAGUAAGCUGCACAGUAAAGAACCAAAAGUUCAGAUUCAAGACACGUUGAAGUAUAAAAAACUGCCUGUUCUGAAGCAUAACAUUUAGAAUUUGGUUGUUGCUGGGGAAAUUGCCUGUUAGUGGUGCAAGGCAGGGCUCUUUGGUUGUGGGCUUCAGUAACCUUUGUCAAUUUUUAUCAUUUAUAAUGUAUUUAGGAGUUUGUAAACGGAAAGGAAGGAGCAGUGUAAAAGAACAACUUGAUGAACCCGGCUUGCUCUGUACUUUGUUAGUGGGUGGGGGUCGGGGGCUUACUUUUUGCUUUAUGAGUGAUUUAUAGGACUAUAAAAGAACACACUUAGAAAGGACGCAUGGUUGAGAAGUUUUUGGAUUUUUUUAAAUGGAGAUUUAACUAUAAUAUUCAAUUACAAAGUACACUAUCUUCUAUGGUAACUUUUCUCAAUGAACACUGGAAGUCAGCAAGCACGUCUUCAAUUCUACAUAUACGUAAUUUGUAAUCAGUGGGUUAUGUAAUUUUUACAAACGUACAGUCCCCCUCCCCUUUCUCCUAGAACUUGUUUAAUCAAGACAAAGUUGGCUUUAGGGAAGGUAGAUAAUAAAUAUAUGAUUCCUGACGUUACAUCUGACAAGGCAUAAUGAAUGUCCAGUCGCCCUGACUUUUCUUCUGUUAUGUGACAUAUUCUUUAAUUGCAGGCAACCCUGUGCAGUUUGUGUUGGAGCAAAGUGAGCUGAGUAUCUGCAGUCACUGGACUUGGUAGGCAGUAUGCAUUUUAAUUGAAUCCUAAGUGUUUCUCGAUGUUAGAGACAAUGUCUAUUGCACAGAUAACAGCAUAAAACUUCAGUAUUCUUCUGUAGCUUGCUUACAUAGCUGAGGUUAUAUAGUGCGUAAACUGCAAAGCUAGAACUCAGAUUCUUGUAUAUCUAAGUUUAGAGCAUGUGUUCUUUCUAGAUACGCUGUAUGUGUUUAUGUGCUGGCAUCAAUUUAUUGAAAGUGGAAAUUUUUUAUUGUAAAGAAACCAUUCAAUUCUGUUGAAGGUUUUCGUGUGUCUUAAAAGAUAAUCUCAAGUAUUUUUUUUUUAUUUUGGAUGUGUCCAUUUUUUAGACGGAGGUAUGGUUUGAGCUAAUGUGUAAAGAUUCUAAAUAGUUAGCAGUGACCUAUACCUGAAAUUCAUGGUUUUGGUAACUUCACCUUAGUGUACCCAAGAUACUUCAAAGAAUAAAUGUUUUGUUUACUCUGAUCUUGAAUUAUAUUUAUAAUUGUACUACUAAAGUAAAUAGCAAGUGUUCACAGGGGCCUUGGGUUGUGAUAGUGUCCACAGGUCCUUCUUAGACCUCAGAACAGUACUUGUUAGGCAAUUUUGCUGUUCUUCUUUACAUUUAGUCCCAAAGUUUUAGAGUUAGAUUGCAUUUUGCAAAAUAUACGGCCAAUAUUAGGGCAAGCAGCAGCAUCUCUUAUGGGCCUAGGGGUGGACAGAUUUUAGAUCUUCCAGAGCAGCGAGUUUCCGAGCCUUUAGUGAAGUCACAGGGACACUUUGCAGAGGUGUUAGGUUGGGAAAGGCAUGGCUUUUGGCUCCCACUGCUCUCUGCUGUUGGGUCUCUUGACGUGCUGUUGAGCUCGUCCUCGUCCUAGCUCUUAUCUCUGUUGAAGAGACAGGCCCCACAUCUGGGUAGAGUUCAGCUGGAAGAAAAGCUAGAGCAGUAGGGGGUGGGGUGGGGAGGAAGAUGACACCUAAGUGGUGUUCAUCCUCCAGCAGGUCAUUCGGCCAGAGUUAAUUAUGUGGUUAAUUAUCUUUGGCUGGAAAUUCUAGAAAUGUUUUGCAGUUUGGGAUCUUUUUUUUUUUUUUUUUCUAAAGAUGUAAAUUGUUUUAGAAGUCUUCCUGGAAUGGCCCUGUCUCACAGACAUGGAGAAAAGAUUUCUGAGUUUCUCAGUCUGGGUAUGUGUUCUAUGGAGUAUGGGGCUGGUUUAAAUAACACCUUGUAAUCUUGACGGACAAUCUUUGGGUUGAAGGAGCAAGUUUUUAAUUAUAGUUGUACUCCCAAGAAAGAGUUAAAUAUACUUUACUUGGGAAGGUAAUUACUCCUGGUAUUUGGCCUAUUAGAGUGGAAAAUAUUGACAAAUGAGAAAACCUACCUAGAAGUAAACAGAAAGCCUUUCUGACAUAUUUUAUAUCAUCACUAUAUAAAAAAGCACACCGGGAAAGUGUAUGUAUGUAGAAGCUUAUUUUCAUUCCUUUGGCAUAACCCUAUAUUAAUAUUAUAAUCAUGAAUAUUUGUCUAAAACUGAAAUAGAUGUAAUGAAAUACUUGGAACUAUCCAACUGAAUCCUAAAUAUUGAACAACAUUUUUAUAAUUUAGUUAAUUGAAAGCUCUAUUUGCUUACUAUCCUAUCCAACAGUCCACAAUCUCACUUUUCUUCUUGCUUAAAGUCUCUCAGCUUGUAUUCCUUCCUUUCUUGAUGCUAUCCUGUCAUCACCUGGAUCUUUCCUUUAAUUCUCAGUUAACCCUGGGGUCUUUUGCAAGUUGUAUGAAAAGUGAAGAGGCCUACAAAGCCUUUAAGCCCAUCCCCUGGUCUGAAUUCUUUUGCCCUAGCAAGUCAAGAGGAAUGCAGUUAAGACCCUAUAACCCACCAGAUUGUGUCUUUAAAAGGAGAAUGAGAAUAACAGAUUGAGGGAGGCAGUGUCCAGACUCUUGCUAUGGUUUCCUGUCUCCCUUCUCCUGAAGAGUCAAGAAGCUAAGUUUGUAGAAGCCAGUGUGCUGCAGAAGUGGGCGUUGUUCCCUCCUUCUCUUCACCACCCACCUUACUCUCAGACGGUCCACUCCUUCCUUUAAGCAGUCAUCCUCAAUUUCUGUCCUUCUCCUAACUAGGUUUAGCCUUCAUCCUCUUUGAUCUCUCCCCUACCCCCAGCUCUGACUUUUGUCCUUUUUCAUGCCCUUUCUCCUGCUCUGCUUUGAUC
rnacentral:lncRNA from 1 species